rnacentral:rRNA from 1 species
UACGGAGGGGGCUAGCGUUGUUCGGAAUUACUGGGCGUAAAGCGCACGUAGGCGGACUGUUAGGUCGGGGGUGAAAUCCUGGAGCUCAACUCCAGAACUGCCUUUGAUACUGGCGAUCUCGAGUCCGGGAGAGGUGAGUGGAACUGCGAGUGUAGAGGUGAAAUUCGUAGAUAUUCGCAAGAACACCAGUGGCGAAGGCGGCUCACUGGCCCGGUACUGACGCUGAGGUGCGAAAGCGUGGGGAGCAAACAGG